ACGAACGUUAGCGGCGCGCUUAACACAUGCAAGUCGCACGAGAAAGGGCUUCGGCCCCGGUAAAGUGGCGCACGGGUGAGUAACACGUGGGUAAUCUGCCCUCCGCUGGGGGAUAACAUUCCGAAAGGAGUGCUAAUACCGCAUAAGACCACGACCUCGAAAGAGGAUGCGGUCAAAGCAGGCCUCUUCAUGAAAGCUUGCGACGGAGGAUGAGCCCGCGGCCCAUCAUGGUAGUUGGUAGGGUAAUGGCCUACCAAGCCGAAGACGGGUAGCUGGUCUGAGAGGAUGAUCAGCCACACUGGAACUGAGACACGGUCCAGACCCCUACGGGUGGCAGCAGUUGGGAAUCUUGCACAAUGGGGGAAACCCUGAUGCAGCGACGCCGCGUGGAGGACGAAGGAUCUAGGUCUGUAAACUCCUUUUUCACGGAAAGACUUAGGACGGUACCGUGAGAAUAAGCCCCGGCUAACUACGUGCCAGCAGCCGCGGUAAGACGUAGGGGGCGAGCGUUGUCCGGAUUUACUGGGCGUAAAGAGCGCGUAGGCGGCUCGUUAAGUGUGAAGUGAAAUCUCCAGGGCUCAACCCGGAAACUGCUUCGCAUACUGGCGAGCUUGAGGAAUGCAGAGGUAAGUAGAAUUCCUGGUGUAGCGGUGAAAUGCGUAGAUAUCAGGAGGAAUACCGACGGCGAAGGCAGCUUACUGGGCAUUAUCUGACGCUGAGGCGCGAAGGCGUGGGUAGCAAACAGGAUUAGAUACCCUGGUAGUCCACGCCCUAAACGAUGGAUACUAGACGUAAGAGGUAUCGACCCCUCUUGUGUCGCAGCUAACGCACUAAGUAUCCCGCCUGGGGAGUACGGCCGCAAGGUUGAAACUCAAAUGAAUUGACGGGGACCCGCACAAGCGGUGGAGCAUGUGGAU
rnacentral:rRNA from 1 species